rnacentral:misc_RNA from 1 species
AAGUCGUAACAAGGUCUCCGUAGGUGAACCUGCGGAGGGAUCAUUAACACGUACAUCCACGUCAACACCCGCGAACUUGUCUUGUUCCGCAUUGGGCAUCCAGAUGAAGGCUGGCAGGAAAGCGGCCAUUCUCUCCCUCGGGGGGCGUGUCCUGCCAGUCCGGACCGGGAUCUCGAUGUGUCGAGCCGUGUUUCGUACCAAAACCUUUUUAACCCAUUGUAACCACACAACUGUGUACUAACUCUAAACCUAUCGAGCUUGGCUAACGCCUUGCUCCAACAAACAAACAAAACGAAUCGUACAACUCUUAGCAACGGAUAUCUUGGUUCUC